UCCGGUGGUUAUAGAGGCGAAGUUACACCCGAUCCCAUCCCGAACUCGGAAGUUAAGCUCGCGAUCGCCAAUGGUACUGCACGGGAGACCGUGUGGGAGAGUAGGACGCCGCCGGAU
rnacentral:rRNA from 1 species